rnacentral:rRNA from 1 species
UACGUAGGGUGCGAGCGUUGUCCGGAAUUACUGGGCGUAAAGAGCUCGUAGGUGGUUUGUCGCGUUGUUCGUGAAAUCUCACGGCUUAACUGUGAGCGUGCGGGCGAUACGGGCAGACUAGAGUACUGCAGGGGAGACUGGAAUUCCUGGUGUAGCGGUGGAAUGCGCAGAUAUCAGGAGGAACACCGGUGGCGAAGGCGGGUCUCUGGGCAGUAACUGACGCUGAGGAGCGAAAGCGUGGAGAGCGAACAGG